rnacentral:miRNA from 1 species
CCACGUUACUGGCUGAGGUAGUAGUUUGUGCUGUUGGUUGGGUUGAGACACUGCCCGCUAUGGAGAUGACUGCGCAAGCUACUGCCUUGCCAGUGCUGGUGCCUCCGCUUCAGCCGAAGGACGAACAGAAAGUCCCCG